rnacentral:tRNA from 1 species
CAAAGAAAGCUAAACAAGCAAUUCGGUUUCGGCCCGCAUCAAGAACUUACAAGUUCUCUUUGUUC